GGGAGGGUAAGGAGGAGGAGCUCCGACUAUAUUCUGUGACAGCAUUUUUUGUGUCCCUUAGCAUUUUUUGGUUGACAUCCUUCAAUCCAGGAAAAUUCCCCAACUCACAGCAGCCACUGUGAGAGGUGGUGGCUGGAGCUCCAGGCUCGCCUGGGGUCACACCACUUGGGCAAGACAGUGCAUUGGACUAAGGAGAGGAGAGAGGAAACAGCAGUGCAGGUGCCCCAUAGGGAACAAACUGAGUUCUCCCAUGGGCCCCUGCUGUGGCCUCAGCUGUGACUGCUGCAGGCUGAACGUGGGACCCUGCAAUGAAUCUGAGACUGUUGAGGCUGUGGCAGCCGCGGCACCAGCAUCCACCGCUGCAGAGGCUGCCAGAUUGAAUUUGGGAGCCACGGAGGUCCAUCCCGUGCAGGACCAGAGCAACCCCGAGCUCCCCAAAGAUUUGGCCGCCCGUCCCAAGCGCUGGACAACAAAAAUAGGGAGACGGAACAAAAUUUGGCCUGUAGGAAAUAAAGGUAGUGUGGAAAUUAAAUCAUUAAAUUCACUUAAGCAAAUCUUUCGACACCAAGGAGAAUGGUCCAGUAGCAGCUCAGUCCAUGCUUCAACCGCCCCCCUCCAUACACUCCAGCCCCGGACCACAUUCCCCAAGGUUCCUUGUGGGAUUCCUCAGCAACACCAAUGCACUGACUGUCACUCUAUCUUCUAGGCUCUGAUGAAGAUCGGCAGGUGCCUGCACGUGGUGGGGUGGAGAAUAUGAAAUCAGAACUUGUAAGACGUAUUUCUUUCUCUGGUAGAGAAUUUUUUUUUAAAUUUGUUUUUGUUUUUUCUGGGGCUUCUAGACUAUCAAGUGAAUAUCAUUUUUGACUGCCAUCAUGGAUCAGGCUUUAGUUGGUCAUGGACUCUAGCGACUGGUCACUAGAGGUUAUGACCAAAUGAGGCCUGAUUGACGAUGGCAGUCAAAGGACGGCAUCACUUACAAAUUGUUUGGUAGUGGGUGUCUUUCUCAGUAGCUACCUUUUCUCCCUGAAAAAUAGUUUUGUAUUUGCCAGCCAACAAGGACACUUGCUAAAUAUUCCCCAAAUAAAACUCACUGCAUUUUCCACAAGCAUCCUCUAUGCUUUCUUUCGGGGCCAGUUACCUGAUACUGUUUUGUUUUUUUCUCUUAUUGCAGAGAAAGUCGAAUGCCCAGGCUAACCUCUGUACGUAUUCUUUUUUUUUUUUUUUUAACAGCUUUAUUUAAACGUAGUUGACAUGCAAAACAAUGUACCCAUUUAAAGUAGGUGAUUCAGCGUUUUUAGAUCUACUAACAUUCCCACAUCUCAGAAUAGGGAACUGAGGCACAGAGGGGUUCAUUUCACUCUCCCACGUAUGUGCAGAUUCUAAGUAGCAUUUGAUCCCAGGCCAUUCUUGGUGACUUGGAUCUGCUGCUUUUCUAUAUUGUCUCAUCUAAAUAAAGGUAUCUCCCUGCACAAACAGUCCGUUUUAAGUGCAAUGAACCUUGCAAAAUCCUCCUAGAACCCAAAUCUAAUUCAGGUAGAGUUGAAAAGUCGACAGUAAAAACUGGGAUCAAAAGUUUCAUCUGGGAAUAAGUUUUUACUAAUUUCUCUGCUGUCCUCUGCCAGCAACAAUGUCAAGCGCUGUCUUUAUUAUAAUACAUUUCCUAGAAUCUAUAAGAAGUCUGCUCUACCUUGCAGGUUUGGCCGCCCGUCCCAAGCGCUGGACACCAAAACUAUGGAGACGGAACAAAAUUUGGCCUGUAGGAAAUAAAGGUAGUGUGGAAAUUAAAUCAUUAAGUUCACUUAAGCAAAUAAUUCCAGUUUAUUCAUUCAGUGCCCCGCAUUAGAGAAACUCAGUAAAUGCUGUGUCAUGUUCUUCA
rnacentral:lncRNA from 10 species